GAUGAACGCUGGCGGCGUGCCUAAUACAUGCAAGUCGAGCGAACAGAUGAGGAGCUUGCUCCUCUGACGUUAGCGGCGGACGGGUGAGUAACACGUGGAUAACCUACCUAUAUGACUGGGAUAACUUCGGGAAACCGGAGCUACUACCGGAACAUAUAUUGAACCGCAUGGUUCAAUAGUGAAAGACGGUUUUGCUGUCACUUAUAGAUGGAUCCGCGCCGCAUUAGCUAGUUGGUAAGGUAACGGCUUACCAAGGCAACGAUGCGUAGCCGACCUGAGAGGGUGAUCGCCGACACGGGAACUGAGACGCGGUCCAGGCUCCUGCGGGAGGCAGCAGUAGGGAAUGUUCCGCAAUGGGCGAAAGCAUGACGGAGCAACGGCGCGUGAGUGAUGAAGGUCUUCGGAUCGUAAAACUCUGUUAUUGGGGAAGAACAAAUGUGAAAGUAACUAUGCACGUCUUGACGGUACCUGAUCAGAAAGCCACGGCUAACUACGUG
rnacentral:rRNA from 1 species